UACGAAGGGGGCUAGCGUUGCUCGGAAUCACUGGGCGUAAAGCGCACGCAGGCGGGCUGCCAAGUCGGGGGUGAAAUCUUGGAGCUCAACUCCAGAACUGCCUUCGAUACUGGCGAUCUUGGAGUCCGGGAGAGGUGAGUGGAACUGCGAGUGUAGAGGUGAAAUUCGUAGAUAUUCGCAUGAACACCAGUGGCGAAGGCGGCUCACUGGCCCGGUACUGACGCUGAGGUGCGAAAGCGUGGGGAGCAAACAGG
rnacentral:rRNA from 1 species